UGAGUGCACAGAGUCUGAAAUGGAAAA
rnacentral:misc_RNA from 1 species